GGAGUCUCACUGGGUGUUGGUAUGAAUCAUCAUGUUGCAGAUGGAGCAUCUGGCCUCCACUUUAUAAACACAUGGUCCGAUAUGGCUCGUGGCCUUGACCUCAAAAUUCCGCCUUUCAUUGACCGCACCCUACUCCGAGCCCGUGACCCUCCCCAACCUGUCUUCCACCACAUUGAAUACCAGCCUCCUCCUUCCAUGAAAUUCACUCCUGAAACCACACUUCCCGAAACAGCCGUAUCCAUUUUCAAAUUAACAAGGGAGCAGCUCAACUCCCUUAAAGCCAAGUCCAAGGAAGACGGAAACACCAUUGCUUAUAGCACCUAUGAAAUUCUGGCAGGACAUGUAUGGCGGUGCACGUGCAAAGCCUUUGGGCUUCCGGAUGACCAAGAAAGCAAGCUGUACAUUGACACCGACGGACGAGCCAGACUCCGGCCCUCCCUUCCGCCUGGUUACUUCGGCAAUGUGAUAUUGGAGGCAACUCCAAUUGCACUAGCAGGUGAUCUCCGAUCAAAGCCCGUAUGGUAUGGUGCCAGUAGGAUUCAUGAUGCGAUACUGCGAAUGGACAAUGAUUAUCUGAGGUCAGUUAUUGAUUACUUGGAAUUGCAUCCUGAUAUUGAGGCCCUUGGGGUGCAUACUCUUAGGUGCCCAAAUCUUUGUAUCACCAGCUGGGCAAGGCUGCCAAUCCACGACGUCGAUUUUGGUUGGGGCAGGCCAAUUUUUAUGGGACCUGGUGCAAUUAGUGACGAGGGGCAUAGUUUUGUGUUACCAAGUCCUUCUAAUGAUGGAAGCUUAUCGUUGGUGACUUCUUUGCAAGCAGAACACAUGAAACUCUUUAGCAAGUUCUUUUAUGACAUUUGAAGAGAAAUAAACAUCCCAACAAACUCGUGCGGAGGAGUCUUUUUAUUCUGUUGGUAAUUUUGUUUCUUUCCAAAGUUUUCUCCCCAUCAAUUAUGCCUGAUAUANNNNNNNNNNNNNNNNNNNNNNNNNNNNNNNNNNNNNNNNNNNNNNNNNNNNNNNNNNNNNNNNNNNNNNNNNNNNNNNNNNNNNNNNNNNNNNNNNNNNNNNNNNNNNNNNNNNNNNNNNNNNNNNNNNNNNNNNNNNNNNNNNNNNNNNNNNNNNNNNNNNNNNNNNNNNNNNNNNNNNNNNNNNNNNNNNNNNNNNNNNNNNNNNNNNNNNNNNNNNNNNNNNNNNNNNNNNNNNNNNNNNNNNNNNNNNNNNNNNNNNNNNNNNNNNNNNNNNNNNNNNNNNNNNNNNNNNNNNNNNNNNNNNNNNNNNNNNNNNNNNNNNNNNNNNNNNNNNNNNNNNNNNNNNNNNNNNNNNNNNNNNNNNNNNNNNNNNNNNNNNNNNNNNNAAACCCCCAUAUGUAUUAUAUAGACUUAUUAAUAAUAAUAAAUCGUAAUAUAAUAAUAAUGCAAGAAUAUAGAUUUUGGGGGAUGGUGAAGUUUUAAUAUAAAGAUAUAUUCUUGGUUGAAAUUAACAGCUAGGCCUGUGGUGCUCGGGUGGUCAUAAGACGAGUGUUUGGAGUUUGAGGUUGCAAGUUCGAAUCUGUUUAGUAGCGAAUUGCUUGAAUAAAAUCAUUUUUUUCAAUUUUUUAAUACUAGCCGUGACAAGCUGUACCGACCGGUUUUUUUUUUCAAUUAUUUAAUACCAGCCGUAUCAGCCUGUACCGGCAGGAUAUUUUAUUAUUUUAAUGUCAGCCGUAUGAGCCUGUACCGGCCGGGAGAAAUAAAAAAUAAUUUUAAAAAAAAUGUACCAGCCGUAUCAGCCUGUACCGGCCGGAUUAUUUUAUUAUUUUAAUGCCAGCCGUAUGAGCCUGUACCGGCCGGGAGAAAUAAAAAAAAAUUAAAAAAAAAUGUACCAGCCGUAUCAGCCUAUACCGGCCGGAUUAUUUUAAUAAUAAAUAUUCACUUUUUAUAACUAUACUGACAAGUUAAUGUUCACUUAAUAAAAUAGAAGCCGGUAUAGGUAGAUAAUUAGGCACAACAACCUGUGCCGGCUUAUCAAAUAGAAAAGUUAAUCGCAGCCAUCUAUUCAAUUUAUCAACGGUGCAAAAAGGAGGUAUUGCACAGUACUCAUAGCAACCGGCUGCUAUGGAAGGGAUUCCAUAUAUAUAUAUAUAUAUAUAUAUAUAUAUAGGUAGCUAACAUUAAAAAGUAUGCGUGUGCCCCAAAAGACAUGAUGAAUGAUGAAAAUAGAAUAGAAUCGAUAGACAUACUUUUUGAGCUUCAAUGAAAGCUAGCAAAAUUGUAGUAACAAGUGUCAGCUAAAAAAAUAGUGCGUACCAUUUUUUGAUCUUUGACGUUCAAGGCCCAGCAUUCCAUUUUCUUUCCUCUUUCCGGUGUAUACAGCUGGCCCGUGGUGUUCCGGUGGUCAUAUGAUUAAGAUUUCAAAUUUGAGGUUGUGAGUUCAAACCAGCAAAAACUACUAAAGUUCAGUACUUUGCAUUUAACCCGUUUUUUGUGUGUAGAUAAAUUGAUUAAUUUUACAUAUUUAGUAAAUAUUAUAUAUAAUAUAUAAUAAGAGGCAGGUAAGUGUUUUAUUGGAAGGUGGAUAAAGAUUGUCCCACGCAUUACCAAUUUGUACGAUGCUUCCUUUGUGCAAAUUUGAAUGGUAUUAGCUAUGCAGACUAUUCUGUAGAUCACUUUGACAAUGGAGUUGCAGUCCCUUUCACGGACAAUCUUAUUUGAGUAAUAAAGAAUUUUCACUUAACAUGAGCAGGUGGACAAAGAGCAAGUAGAUCGAGUCCACCGGCACAAGGAAGCGGCAAAACUCUAAACAUUUAUGUUUAGACAUUUAUGUUAUAUGUUAGGUGGUGGGAGCUGGGCUGAUUGAAAUGAUCUUACGCUAAACAUUUAUGUUUGCCAAUGUAUGUAUGUAUGUAUGUAGUUUGGACUUUGAAAGUGCACGUUUUCUAUGAAUUCAUGCAGUUUUGCAGUUGUACAAAUAGGUUUAGUUGUUUUUUGUGUAGAUAAAUUGAUUAAUUUUAUAUAUUUACUAAAUAUUACUCCCUCCGUCCCAUGAUAAAAGUCAUUUUUACUAUUUUGGGUAGUCCCAAGUUAAAUGUCCAUUUUCCUUUAAUAAUCAAACUUUUACACAUAUUUUUCUAUUAUACCGAUAGCAUUAAAUAUCUCAUACUUUUCUUAUUUGAACUCUCUCUCCAUAUUUAAUGAUAUUAUUAUAGGCAAUUUUGUCAUUUUAUUCUUCUUAAUAUGCGUGAAAAGUCUACCAGGACUUUUAUCCUGGGACGGAGGGAGUAUAUAUAAUACUACCUCCGUCCCACAAUAAGUGAUUUUUUAGGCUUAAUAUUUUUUCCCAAAAUAAGUGAUAUGUUAGAAAUCCAAUACAAUUUUUACAAUAUUUUCUCAUAUAUGCCCUUAUGCAUUCAAUGGUAUUUAUUGCAUCUUGCAAUCAUUACAAUUAAAUGACAUUCAUUAACUCUUCAACUUCAAAGAAAAUAUAUUAAGGAUAUUUUUGUUAUUUUAGCUUGUGUAUUGGUACGUGUGAUUUAAGCUAAAAAAAUCACUUAUUAUGGGACCGAGAUAAGAGGCAGGUAAGUGUUUAAUUUGUUGAAAGGUGGAUAAAGAUUGUCCCACGCAUUACCAAAUAUAUACUACUAGUUACCUCCCUCUCUCUUCUAGCCGACCUUUCUUUCAUCUUCAAACUCCAACAUCACAAUGAAGAUCAACGUAAGAGAGUCGACGAUGGUGGCGCCGCCGGCACAGGAGACGCCGCAGCGGAGUCUGUGGAUUGCUAACUUGGACCUUGUGGCACCGGAUACCCAUGUCCCGACCGUAUACUUUUACUGGCCGAACGGGUCGUCCAAUUUCUUUGAGGCGAAAAUACUUAAGGAGGCGCUAAGCCGUACCUUGGUUCCGUUUUACCCAAUGGCUGGGCGGUUAAAGAGGGGCGAAGACAGGCGCAUUGAGAUCAACUGUAACGGAGAAGGUGUUCUCUUCGUGGAGGCAGACUCGGAUGGAGUGGUUGAUGAGUUCGGCGACUUCACCCCGACGUUGGAGCUCCGGAAACUCAUUCCGAUGGUUGAUUAUUCUCUUGGAAUCCAUGCCUAUCCUCUUUUAGUCUUGCAGGUGCGUGUGUUUUCACUACGCCAUAUAUAUAAAAAUACUACCAUAUUUUCUAUAUGCUUGGUUAUUUAUUCUUGUGUAAUUUUGUUGUUCAAGAAUUUGAGAAUAUCCGGUGAGGUUAGUGUAGUUUUAGGGUAAAAAAAUGCGAGUCACACCACAAGUUCCGAUCAGUCCCAAAAUAUUUGUACUACAUAAAAAUUUAUUUAAGAAAAAUUACAGAAGAAUUUGAAAAAAAUAUUAGUUUUUUAAUGCAUGAAUUUUGGACAAUGAUUAGGAAAUUAUCAAGGUACCGAGCUAUCCAUAUGGGACUGGUUGGAACUGGUGAAGAGCUGAACAUAAGGGACACCGGUUAUGUCCGGUAGUACCUGCUAUUUGAAUUCAAAUUACUUGGUAGAUAUAAUGUUUAGCUCUUGCUUUCUUUACUUUCAUUCAUUACCUUAUAUUGCUACAUAGAGUUUUAUCUUUUAUCUUUUUUCCUUUUUUUUCAAGAACAAAGUUGUAAUUUUUUUUGUUGCAAGUAAUUAAUUAACUUCCCUCCAAUUGAGCAGAUUACAUACUUCAAAUGUGGUGGAGUCUCACUGGGUGUUGGUAUGAAACAUCAUGUUGCAGAUGGAGCAUCUGGCCUCCACUUUAUAAACACAUGGUCCGAUAUGGCUCGUGGCCUUGACCUCAAAAUUCCGCCUUUCAUUGACCGCACCCUACUCCGAACCCGUGACCCUCCCUAACCUGUCUUCCACCACAUUGAAUACCAGCCUCCUCCUUCCAUGAAAUCCACUCCUGAAACCACACUUCCCGAAACAGCCGUAUCCAAUUUCAAAUUAACAAGGGAGCAGCUCAACUCCCUUAAAGCCAAGUCCAAGGAAGACGGAAACACCAUUGCUUAUAGCACCUAUGAAAUUCUGGCAGGACAUGUAUGGCGGUGCACGUGCAAAGCCUGUGGGCUUCCGGAUGACCAAGAAAGCAAGCUGUACAUUGACACCGACGGACGAGCCAGACUCCGGCCCUCCCUUCCGCCUGGUUACUUCGGCAAUGUGAUAUUGGAGGCAACUCCAAUUGCACUAGCAGGUGAUCUCCGAUCAAAGCCCGUAUGGUAUGGUGCCAGUAGGAUUCAUGAUGCGAUACUGCGAAUGGACAAUGAUUAUCUGAGGUCAGUUAUUGAUUACUUGGAAUUGCAUCCUGAUAUUGAGGCCCUUGGGGUGCAUACUCUUAGGUGCCCAAUUCUUUGUAUCACCAGCUGGGCAAGGCUGCCACUCCACGACGUCGAUUUUGGUUGGGGCAUGCCAAUUUUUAUGGGACCUGGUGCAAUUAGUGACGAGGGGCAUAGUUUUGUGUUACCAAGUCCUUCUAAUGAUGGGAGCUUAUCGUUUGUGACUUCUUUGCAAGCAGAACACAUGAAACUCUUUAGCAAGUUCUUUUAUGACAUUUGAAGAGAAAUAAACAUCCCAACAAACUCGUGUGGAGGAGUCUUUUUAUUCUGUUGGCAAUUGUUGCUUAAUUUCUUAAUAGCACUUUAACACGCAAACAUACGCGUUCAAUUGUAAUAUUCAGUAAGGCAAGGAUAUCGUUCCCACGAGGAAAUAAACUAAUAUUUUUUAAUUACUAAUUUCAAUGCAGUUAAUCAUAUUUUAAACUCCAAAAUAUUGGUUGUGAUUUGAAAAUUAAACUUAACAAACUAAUAAUUAAAAUCAAAAUUUCACAAGAACAACUGCAGAUUUAACAUGUUAAGAUUACAACUUCCCUUGGUAUUUCAUUUAAACUAAUUUACUUCCCAUUUAAAUCAAUAAAUUAAUAUGAAUAAUUAUUAUAGUGCUCACGCACUUCUUCCAAAGACACGUGAACAAAUCCUCCAAAAUCCAAUCCUUAAGACACAAAAUUACAAGAACACCCUAUUUAAUUAAUUCACUAUAUUCCUAUGUGAAUCAAGUUAAUUAGAGUUUUACACACAAAUUCUUUCAAUGGAUACAAAAGACACAUAAGUAUAUUCCUAUCCUACAUGCUAAUCAUAUUAACCCUAAUCAGAUUAUAUGAACAGAUGUUAUUUUAUCCAGAUCUAAAUCUAUAUUCCAUCUUCCAAUUUUAUAUAGAUUAUCACAGUAAUUGUUGGCCAAACGUACAAUUAAUAAAUAAGCAUAAGAUAUAAUAAACAAUUCAAUAAAAACCAACUUUCAUUCAAUAGGAAGAUUUAAUUUAAACUACAUACCAAGUUCCAUUGCAAUCUUAAUUAAAAUUUAGUUCAUGAUAAUAAUAAAAAAAAAUAUCAUCCAGAUUAAUAAUCCAAACAUCCCAGAUAAUUACAAAAGAUAAAACUAGAGAAGAGAAGAAGAAACUCUGAAUUUGCUCCAAUACUCUCUCUUUGAUCUUCAACCCUUGCAAUUAUAUUCUCCUUCGUGUUUUCCUUCGUUGUUCUCUCCGCAAUUCUCUUGAUAAUUUUCUUGAUACGUCUUUUUUAAAGUCUUCUCUUAUUUGUAUUCUUCAAAAACCUCAUUCAGAUUCCUUUUUGGCUUCAAAAACCAACUCAACAGUAGCAAAAUCCCUCUUUAGCCGUACAUGAGCGCCUAGGCACUCAACCCAGGUCAUUUUCAAGCGCCUAGGCUCUUAACCAGGACCACAUAUUUAUAAAAAUGCCACUCAGAUCUAAUUUUAAUGAUUUUUUGAUCUUUUUCUUCUCCCAAAUGACCAAUUUGUCCCUCCAGCUCCAACCUACAAGAAAUAAACACAAAAACACAUAAAAAGAUACUAAAAACACUGAAAGAUAGCAAUAAUUAAGCUUAAUAAUAUCAUAUUCAUAGGUAUAAAAUCCACUCAUCAGUAAUUUUGUUUCUUUCAAAAGUUUUCUCCCCGUCAAUUAUGCCUGAUAUAUGUGCUUAUAUCCGAACAGAAGUAGCUAAAAGCUACGUGCAUGUAAGGAACUUGGGAUACAUUGUAUGUUGGAAAAAAUGCACCUAAAUAAUCUCAAUCUGGCCUAGAGAUUAUGUAAUAUUCUAAAUUAUGUUAUGUGAUUAUGUACGUGUUAUGUGAUCCUUUUCCAAGACUGUAAUGAAAGGGACUUGUAGUAUUAGUUUUAGAAUUUUAUUUGUUCUCAAGUCAUUCACACCAAUCAUAUUAAAUAGUUAAAAUUUAUAAAUUUUGUAAAUAAUAUUUUUUGUGUAUAAAAGAGUUUUCUAUUUUUAAAUUAAACAGUGACACUCAGGGUUUUCAAAUGAAAGUUGUAGGUCGAUCGAUCUUAUUUAAUAAAACAGUAACAGAGUCGCUUACACCUUGCUAAUGACACAAGUAAUUAAAGACAUUAGCUUCAAAGGCUCAAGAUAAUAAAACGUAAGAGGAAUGUGAGUAAGCAAGUAUGCUAUUAUUAACACCCCAACUUAAAAUUGACUCCGACUAAGGAUGGAUACAACUUUAAGCACCCUUUNNNNNNNNNNNNNNNNNNNNNNNNNNNNNNNNNNNNNNNNNNNNNNNNNNNNNNNNNNNNNNNNNNNNNNNNNNNNNNNNNNNNNNNNNNNNNNNNNNNNAAAGCUACGUGCAUGUAAGGAACAUGGGAUACAUUGUAUGUUGGGAAAAGUGCACCUAAAUAAUCUCAAUCUGGCCUACAGAUUAUGUAAUAUUCUGAAUUCUGUUAUGUGAUUAUGUACGUGUUAUGUGAUCCUUUUCCAAGACUGUAAUGAAAGGGAACUUGUAGUAGUAGUUUUAGAAUUUUAUUCGCCUAGAUUUGUUUGUAAAUUUGUUAUCAAGGCAUUCACACCAAUCAUAUUAAAUAGUUAAAAUUUAUAAAUUUUGUAAAUAAUAUUUUUUGUGUAUAAAAGAGUUUUCUAUUUUUAAAUUAAACAGUGGCACUCGGGGUUUUCAAAUGAAAGUUGUAGGUUGAUCGAUCUUAUAUAAGUGAGUAGCAGAGUCGCUUACACCUUGCUAAUGACAGAAGUAAUUAAAGACAUUAAGUUCUAGAUAAUAAAACGCUAUAUGACAGAAGUAAUUAAAGACAUUAGGUUCUAGAUAAUAAAACGUAAGAGGAAUAUAUAUAAUUUAUUUAUAUAAAUAUCGUAAAGUAGAUCAGUUUUAGAUACCGUAAUUUGGAGAUAUUCCUUAAACAAGAAUAUCAUUCAAAUUGGGUGCUUAAAGUUCUAAGUGACCUAUUGAAAAUAUUUAUAUAAACAUUAUAUUAAUUGUGAAACUCUAAAUUUGGUCAAUUUUAAANNNNNNNNNNNNNNNNNNNNNNNNNNNNNNNNNNNNNNNNNNNNNNNNNNNNNNNNNNNNNNNNNNNNNNNNNNNNNNNNNNNNNNNNNNNNNNNNNNNNAUUUGUUCUCAAGUCAUUCACAACAAUCAUAUUAAAUAGUUAAAAUUUAUAAAUUUUGUAAAUAAUAUUUUUUGUGUAUAAAAGAGUUUUCUAUUUUUAAAUUAAACAGUGACACUCAGGGUUUUCAAAUGAAAGUUGUAGGUCGAUCGAUCUUAUUUAAUAAAACAGUAGCAGAGUCGCUUACACCUUGCUAAUGACACAAGUAAUUAAAGACAUUAGCUUCAAAGGCUCAAGAUAAUAAAACGUAAGAGGAAUGUGAGUAAGCAAGUAUGCUAUUAUUAACACCCCAACUUAAAAUUGACUCCGACUAAGGAUGGAUACAACUUUAAGCACCCUUUUGAAUGAUAUUCUUAUUUAAGGCAUCUAAACUGACCUUAUUAUAUAUUGAUAUGAAUAGAUGAAAUAUAUAUAUAUAUAUAUAUAUAUAUAUAUAUAUAUAUAAACUUUCACAACAAUUUAUAUUUGUAUAUCUAUAAAUAUAAACAAAUCAAUUCAAUAACUUAUCUCAUAUAUUUUGAUCAAUUUUCUCUUUUUCAGAAGAUUUGAAACUUUGAAUGGAAGAGAGAAAAACAUUUUUUUCAGAGAAAGUAUGUAGGCAAAGAGAGUAAGCUUUCUUAUUCUUGUAAAUUGUUAAGUCUUGAACUGAAUUUUUUUCUUAUUUAUAGGAGAUUUUGAGUCGGGGGUAAACUUGUCUAACAAAAUUUUUCAAUACAUGCAUUCAAUAAAUUAAUGCACCCAUUUCAUCUUGCAAGCAAUGGUCAAAAGGCUUUAAGCCUUUGAAGGCUUAUAUCUUGAAUUAAUCUAAUGGGUCCCACAAAUACAACAUCAUGUGCAUUUAAGCUUUCAAUUAAUUCCAACACAUGAAGCAAAUAAGAAAGUUUUGUUAUAAAAUUAUAAUAUAUAUAUAUAUAUAUAUAUAUAUGGAUGUCUAGAUUCAUUUCUCUUAUAUUUAAUUGUAAUGAUCCUUGAUAUUUUUGGAACUCCCAUGUCCCUUAAGUUUUAAAACUCAUGACUUUUGAGUUUUGAAACCUCCAAGUAUUGAUAUUCAUAUCUCUAUAUAUAAUAGCAUUGUAAAAGUGAAUGAUAUAAAAAUAUAGUGAGAAUGCUCUCUUUCCUCUAAUCAUUUAUAAUACGUUAUCAGCACGAAUUGCUCCUCACCUUCGUCUUGAAGAUAAUCAUAUUUCAUUUGAAGGAGAAGAAAAUCUGGAUUUGCGGCAUGCUAUAAAUGAGCCUAAUAUCAGUGGUGGAGAUAUAUACUUAGCAGAUAGUGCAACGACGCAUACUAUUCUCAGACAUAAGCAAUAUUUUUUAAAUCUAAAAAUGAUGAAAGCUAAUGUGAAUACAAUAUCAGGUUCAGCAGACUUAAUUGAAGGCUCUGGAAGAGCCAAUAUAAUUCUUCUUAUGGAACAAAAUUUAUUAUUGAUAAUGUUUUGUUUUCCACUAAAUUAAUGAGGAAUCUGCUAAGUUUUGAAGAUGUACGAUUUAAUGGAUACCAUAUUGAGACAACCAAUGACAAUGGUAUAGAAUAUCUUUAUAUCAUAUCAAAUGUCUCUAUUGGAAAACAAAUAUUGGAAAAAUUACUCGUUUUAUCUUCAGGUUUGUACUAUACAAGUAUUAGUACAAUUGAAGUCAAUGCAAUACUGAACCAGAAGUUUAAUGAACCAAAUAAUUUUAUUAUUUGGCAUGACCGGUUGGGUCAUCCUGGAUCAAUAAUGACGCGAAGAAUUAUUGAGAAUUCACAUGGCCAUCCAUUAAAGAACCAAAAAAUUCUUUAAUUUGAUGAAUUCUCAUGAGCUGCUUGUUCUCAAGGCAAAUUAGUCAUUAGACCAUCACCAGCUAAAGUUGGGAUUGAAUCCCCAAGGUUUCUAGAACGUAUUCAAGGAGAUAUUUGUGGGCCUAUUUGUAAGACCCCAACUUUUAUGAAUAAAGAAUAAUUUUCUCGAAAUAUAUUUUUGAAUAUUAUGGUGUGAAUUUGAUAUAAUGUUAUAGUUGUGGGUAAUAUUUACAAAUUUUGCAAAGUAAGCAAGUGGUUAUAUAAUAUUCGAUUGAUUGGAGAAUAUUCGUUUUAACAGAGAAUAUUCGUACGAUGGCACAAUCAUUGGUGGACCCACAACGGAAGUAUUGUCGUAGCUAGAAAACGACAAAAAUAUCUUUCUAUAAAAAUAACGGCGGAGGUGUUACCGUUAAAACUGUUGAACUACCCGGUAGUAAAAGUACAGUAAUACGCGUGGUUGCAUAGUAGCACACGGUAUUGAUUAUUGAUACUUACGUGAGAAGUCACUCAGUUAUACUCAAUUAUUGCUACAGUAAUUGCUGCAUCAUAUCUCUNNNNNNNNNNNNNNNNNNNNNNNNNNNNNNNNNNNNNNNNNNNNNNNNNNNNNNNNNNNNNNNNNNNNNNNNNNNNNNNNNNNNNNNNNNNNNNNNNNNNNNNNNNNNNNNNNNNNNNNNNNNNNNNNNNNNNNNNNNNNNNNNNNNNNNNNNNNNNNNNNNNNNNNNNNNNNNNNNNNNNNNNNNNNNNNNNNNNNNNNNNNNNNNNNNNNNNNNNNNNNNNNNNNNNNNNNNNNNNNNNNNNNNNNNNNNNNNNNNNNNNNNNNNNNNNNNNNNNNNNNNNNNNNNNNNNNNNNNNNNNNNNNNNNNNNNNNNNNNNNNNNNNNNNNNNNNNNNNNNNNNNNNNNNNNNNNNNNNNNNNNNNNNNNNNNNNNNNAUUCCUUCAUUAUUUCUUACGAAUUCACUGAAACUCUAGAGAGAGAAACUAUAGAGAGAAAGAAGAAAAGUAUUUUGCUAAUUCACUACUCUAAUAUCCAGUUUCUUCUAAGGUAGGGGAUAUUAUUUUUUAUAUUCGUAAGGGGUAUUCUUUCUUUCUUAUUCAUGAAGAGAACUUCUGUUAUUCCAUUCUUUAUUAUUCUGUUGGAAUAACAUGUAUACGCGGGAUACUCUAUACUUGGUGAAAUUCUUCUGUUAUUCCAUUCUUAUUAUUCUGUUGGAAUAACCUGUUUAUGCGAAGUACCGCAUACAUGGUGAAAUUCUUUUAAUAUUCUGUUCUUUAUUAUUCUGUCGGAAUAUCCUAUCUGUGCGUUUACGCCGGACCUGGUUCCAUUAUUUAUUAUUCUGUCGGAAUAUCCUAUUUGUGCGUUUACGCCGGACCUGGUUUCAUUAUUUAUUAUUCUGUCGGAAUAUCCUGUCUGUUCGUUUACGCUGGACCUGGUUCCAUUAUUUAAUAUUCUGUUGGAAAUAACAUGUCUGUGCAGUCUAUCGCACGCAUAGUGAAUCCUUCUGUUAUUCCAUUCUUUAUUAUUCUGUUGGAAUAAUCUGUCUAUGUGGAUUACCACAUGCAUGGUGAAUGAUCCUUCGUAUUCAUUCCUUAUUAAAUUGUGGAAACGAUUUGUCUACGUGGAUUACCGCAUGGUGGGCGAAAAUCCAUUUGCAGUUUCAUAUAUUCUAUUAUACUCAGUUGGUUAAAGCUUUGGCUUCUAUACUCCAUGAAAUUAGUGGAAUAUACUUGAUAUUUGCGCUUCAUCCAGUAUCUUUUCAUGGAAACAUUCUCCUGAGCAUUCUUGAAUUUUACUCCACAAAGCAGUAUCAUGUUGACAAUUUGGACGUUAUUGAGUUCAGGAUAAAUUAACUUAUAAAUCUUUAAAAUUUAUUCAUGAACUUGUUUUAUUGAAUUGUCAUCAUCCUCAUGUUUAUAUUAUGUUAAAAGUCAUCUUUGGCUUACGUGCAUAGAUGGACUUGGUAUGAUUAUGACUAGGGAUUAUUCGGUAUAGUCAUGACCAUUGAUGAUUACAUGAAUAUCCUUGGCCGUGGAGUAGGGAUAAUUCGAUUUUAUUUAUUAAGCUGAGUCUCAGCGAUAAAGUUGAUGAAAAACUUUUUAAAUCAUAGAAGAUAAUAGAUUUUAUACUUUACUUGACUCUUCUAAUGGAUUGCUUGAUCCGCUAUAGUUAAACUUGUUGUCUAUUAUAUUAUUCUAUCAGUUUAACAUUAUUGAAGGCUAAUGAUAAUUUAUUCUGCAUUAUUUUAGUCAUAAUAUUUCUUACUGGGCUAGUUGAGUUCACCCUUUCUUUCACUAUUCUCUUCAGGAAAUGAGAACGUAGCUGGGACUAGUCGGGGAACAGAGUGAUGGUCCUAGAUGGUGCAUUAGUAGUCCUCCCUAUUCUGUGAAAUAGUGUGAUAAUAAAUGUAAUAAGGACUCCAUUGAGUGUGGAUAUUGUCUAGAUGACAAUAUUUGUAUUAAAACUCACAGCCUAUGUUUUGUCGUAUUUUACACGACUGUUGUAUAAUUAAGUUGUAUUUGUAUUUAGUACCUUGUAUCUGGCGACCCAAGAUGUGUGAUAUAUACAUGUUUUGGGGGCGUCAUACUAUUCACCCACCAAGUGGACCAUUUAGAUAUUUUAUGGAUUUAAUAGAUGCAUCUACAAGAUGGUCACAUGUGUGUUUAUUAUCAACUCGUAACCUGGCGUUUCCAAGAUUACUUGCUCAAAUUAUUAGAUUACGAGCACAAUUUCUGGAUCAUACAAUUAAGACUAUUCGUCUUGAUAAUGUUGGUGAAUUCACAUCCCAAACAUUUAAUGAUUAUUGCAUGUCACAUGGGAUAAAUAAUGAACAUAUUGUUGUCCAUGUUCAUACUCAGAAUGGUCUUGCUGAAUCAUUUAUUAAACUCCUUCAAUUAAUUGCAAGACCAUUGCUCACGAGAACAAAACUUCAUGUCUCUGUUUGUGGGCACACUAUUUUACAUGCAACAACACUUAUUCACAUUAGGCCAACAUCAUAUCACAAAUUCUCCCCAUUACAAUUGGUUUUUGGUAAUGAGCCAGAUAUUUCCCAUCUAAGAAUAUUUGGUUGUGCGGUAUAUGUUCCAAUUUAUCCUCCACAACGUACAAAGAUGGGUCCUCAAAGGAGGCUGGGAAUAUAUAUUGGGUUUGAGUCCUCAUCAAUAAUUAAAUAUGUUGAACCCUUAACAGGUGAUCCAUGCACGAUUUUUCGACUGUCAUUUUGAUGAGACUAUGUUCUCAGCAUUAGGGGGAGAAAUUAAACAGCUGGAUAAAGAUAUAACUUGGAAUGCAUUGUCAUUAUUGAAUUUUGAUCCUCUUACAAAACAAUGUGAACAAGAAGUUCAAAAGAUACUUCGUUUGCAAGAUAUAACAAAUCAACUACCGAAUGCAUUCACUAACUCAAAAGGGGUAACCAAAUCUCAUAUACCAGUUGUAAAUACUCCAGCUCUGAUUGAAGUCCCAAUAGAACAAUUUGCAAAAAUUAUAGCAAAUGAGUCUAAAGCACGCCAGAAGCGUGGUAGAUCAAUCGGUUCGAAAGACAAAAAUCCUCAGAAAAGAAAAGAAGUAAAUAAACUAGUAGGCAUUAUAAUUGAGGAGGAAAAUAUUCAUGAGGAUAUAGACAUAGCUAAUCAUAAAAUUCCAGAAGAGGUUCAGGUACUUGAAAACAAUAAAAAUGAUGAGAUCUCGAUAAGUUAUCUCAAUAAAGAAAAAUGGAACCAAAGUGAGAUAGUUGUUGACAACAGUUUUUCUAUAAUAUAUUGCUUGAUAUCAUUAAUGGAAAUGAGGAUUUUGAGCCUAAUUCUGUCGAAGAUUGUAGACACAGAAAUGAUUGGCCAAAAUGGAAAGAAGCAAUCCAGGCAGAAUUAAAUUCACUUGCAAAACGUGAAAUUUUUGGACUUAUAGUCCAAACACCCGAAGAUGUAAAGCCCGUUGGAUACAAAUGGGUCUUUGUGCGAAAAAGAAAUGAGAAAAAUAAAAUCGUAAGAUAUAAGGCACAACUUGUGGCACAAAGAUUUUCACAAAAACCUGGCAUUGAUUACGACUAAGAUAAACUCGAAGGAAAAUUACGUAUAAUUAACAAAAUUAUAGUCCAAGUAUCGAUUUCCUAUCCGUCAGAUUGAUGACAUGCAUGAUAGAUUGAGGGUUCAUCAACUUUUUUUAAAAAUUGACUUGCACAGUAGAUAUCACCGGAUUCAGAUUAUACCGAGAAAUGAAUGAAAAAUAGUGUUUAAGACAAAUGAGGGUUGUAUAAUACUCUUAGUAUUUUAUGGAGUUGAUGAAUCAAGUACUUAAGCCUUUUAUUGAUAAAUUUGUAGUGAUAUAUUUCGAUGUAAUUAUCCUGAUUUAUAGUACCAAUUUUCUGAUCAUUUGGAGAAUUUACGACAAGUUUUUUCUCACUGGAAAAAAUACAAAAAAUGACAAAAACAAAACAAAACAAAGACGUUCAAGCUCACGUAUACAGAGUGAGCCUCGAAGAUCAGACAUAAUCAAAUUCAUCAAAAUUAAAUAAUAUAUCCAUGGCCAUUAGCAAUUCAAAUCUGCUCUCUCAUACGAUGUCUCAUUUAAAAUCUCACCCUAUGUCUUAAUCCACAUAAUAUUUAUAUUCAGUUAAAAUAUGAUUAAAGAUUGCGUACGUGACAUUAAUAUAUGAGAAUAAGAUAGUGCACGAGACAUGAAUUGUGAGAAUAAAAUUCUGACUCCCAUUAGCUAGGUAUAUAUAUAUAUAUAUAUAUAUAUAUAUAUAUAUCAAGUGUGGAGGCCAACAAUAUUAAAAUGCUUGUUUACGGUAUAAGGGCAAGGACUGAUCAUUGUCGGUCGGGGCAGCAAGAAUUAGAGGUUCUUAUAUUUUGGCAUCAGUAGUGUCGCAGCAGGAAGUGAUUCUCCCGGAGCAGCAUGUGACGAAUGGAUGAGUUCGUGCUGUCACUGUUAUCGCUUAAAGGGCAAAAUCAAAAUUGAGUGACAACUUAAAAAGAAUUUUUUUACAAUUAUUACAGUUUCAUGCAUGCAUACAUAUUUAUAGUUAUGUGGUACUGAACACUACAAAUUAUUGUAUGGUGUCUAUCCAAACGUGGAUCGGCUCGUGGACUAGUUGUGGAAAACUGUCAUGUGAGGCAAUUAGAAUGGAAUUCAGAUUUUAUUUUCUUGUAUUAGCUAUGCAUGUGUCAUAUUUUGGCUGGUGUUGGGCACAUGUCAUGGAAUCAUUUCUGUUACAAACUUGGUUAGAAUGAGAGUGAUUAUGGCCUUAUAUACUGCAAUUGUUGCUGCUUAUGAAAAUGAAUGAAUGAAUUUACUUUUCUUAUUAUUUUCCUCAUCUUUUCUCACCUUUAUUUCUUCUCUUUAAUUUCUAGUUUAAUUUAUGUCAAGUUCAGAUUUGUUAUGUUAUCUCUAUCCAGAAGCGUACCACAUGAGUGCUCCAGUCCAAUCAAUUACUACGAUGAUGCUAUGAGAUUUUGGUGUCCAGAACAUGAUAAAAACCAAGUUAUCACAAGACAAAGUUGACCCUGUAAGAACUUGUUUCUUGCAUUUUUUUUGCUAAUUUGGUAACAGAAAAUAUAGUCAAAGGCUAUUUCAAUAGUAUCGUCUAAAAUGCCUAUACGAACUCAAUUCAUUAUUUCGGCAUUAAAAUGGAGAAUUAAAGGAAAUAGGUCUUGAGGAUUAAAAAAAACAAUCGCAUGUGUUGAUUUCUUUUUUGGAUAAACAAUAUUUCUUUUUUAUCCGCUCUUUGCAUUGAAAGAAUAGAUUAUAAAAAAAAUUAUAGGUUAUCACUAACAGGGAUACUGGGAGGUUUAGGGGAUUUGGCUUUGUGAGCUUCUCUGAUACUGAAUAUGUUCCUCGCACUGUCAACCAUUGAUGGACAGGUGAUGAUUAAAUGAUGUGGAAAAUCUUUAGUACAUAAUUUUCAUUGUUAUUCUCUUCUAAUGCUCUGAAUCCUACAUCAACUGAAUGGGCGAAACUGUUGAAUUUUUUUGCAAUACAAAUCCUAUUUAUCUAUUUAUUUAUUUAUAUUGGACAUUGAUUUAUUAAUAAAAGCACAUCAUUUAUCAUUUAUUAAAUGAUCAUUUAGUUUGUUUAUAUAUAUCUCAAUAUUAUAUAUGUAAUGGUUUAUGUGUAUUAAUAAAUGUUAUACACAAAAGAUAUAAAUCAUAUGUAAUAUAUAAAUAAAAAAAUAAUAGUUUAUAGCCUAGGAUAAUUCAGAGAUAUUAUCCUAUAGGUUAUAGUACUUUAACAAUGAUGAUUUAUCUUGAUAGUUGGACUUCUAAUUAAAGUACUAGUGCAUUAACAGUGUGCGUUAAACGGAUCAUGUGAUAAUAUUUUAUUUAUAAAAUAUUUUCACAUAAAUACUAAUUUGUAAAAUUUCUUAAUUUUGAAAUAAUAGUGGACUUAAUAUUGUUAUAUAUAUUAAUUUGAUGUUCCAAUGAGUGAGAUUACAUCGUGUUAAUUAAUACCUCGAAAUGUCGAUUAAUAUAUUUAAUUAAUAUUACGAACGUUAUUGUUGUCAAAACAUCUAUAAGAUUUUUCAUAAGAUAAUUUAUCAUUUAUCAUAGAAUCUUGGCCGAAUCUUUUAAUAUCUAUUAUUAAAAUGAUUGAUUUAAUUAUUAAAUUAAUUUAUGAUUAAAUAGACAUAAAUUAUGGGCUUAUGAAAUUAAUUUAAAUGUAUAGGAAUUAUAUUAAUUGAUUCUGAAAUAUUUAUGUGCAUUUAUAGAGGAAAUAUUUACAGUUUAUUAGUAAAGGGUUUAUUUAAUUAAUUCUUGGACUGAAGUGCAAUUAUAAUUAUUUAGUGAAAUUAAUUAAUAUUUAUUUUGAAUAAUAUUAUUAGAUAAUAAUAUUUAGAUAAAUAUUGGAGUCAGGAUUCAUAAGAGAUGGUAAGAAUCAAUGUUAUUAUAUAUAUCAUUGAUCAGAAACGUAUUGGGUGACUUUUUUAUUAGUACAAAAUACAAAAUAUAGGUAUUCUCACUUUCAGCCUAGGUAAAACAAAGUUAGAGUUUUUUCCGGAAGGGUGCUUUGGAGACCACACUCCAGGUUCAGUAUAAGGUCAUAGGAAAGAAGAUCUUGAGGAUACAAGAGAUUGUACAAAUAUUAAACGUGCUAAUCCAACCAAACACUAGGUAACAAAUUCGUUCUAUAGAUACAUAGUAUAUAUAUUUGUUGGUUCGUAUAAAACCAAAAAAAUGAUCCUCGUUUUUAUUUAAGUUUUUUAAAACCUAUUUUCCGGAAGAAAAAAAAUUCCUUCAAUUGGCAUCAGAGCAAUCUUUAUGCUUUUACAUGAAUAACAUGCAUAUAUAUAUAUAUAUAUAUAUAUAUAUAUAUAUAGUUGAUUUUCGAAAUUUGCUGCUUUAAGGUUUUAAUAAAGUAAUUUAUAUGUUUAUGUUAUAGAAUUAAAGUAUGCAUGAGAUGUAUUAAAGUAUAUUUUACGUUUCACAGUAGGAUAUAUUAUUGUUCUAACUUCUGUUUUGCAGAAUUGAUUGUAAUAUACUUUAAUGGCUAGCAUGAAUGUAUGUUUUAAUUAAAAAAAUCGUUGGUUUUGAUUUUUGGUUGUAAUACUCCUGCUGUGAGUAAUUUAAUUUUUAUGCAGUUUAGAUAGUAUGUAAACUCUUAAUGAGUAUAGGUUUCAUUGAUGUAAUUAUACAUAAAUCGGAUGUACACUUCUCAUGAAAUAUUUGACCUAUAUGUAAUCCACUGCACUCAUAAUAAGUAAGUUGUUGAAGAAGAUGGACAUGAAGUUUUUUCUUUUCAGAAUCAGAGAUUGACUUGGACUCGGUUUUUUCAGAAUCUGAGAUGGACAUAGAAUCAUGUAGAAUACAUCAUUUGAGUUCAAUAGGGAUGCUUUAUGAAAGUCCUGAUGGAUCUAGGAUUGUUAUUUGUCAUGAGAGUAUAUAUUGUUAUGUGGUUAUCUUGUUAUGUGAUUUUAUGUUUGUUAUUAAAACCUAGAUUAAAGAAGCAGAAAUGAAUUUUAGUUAAUUCAAAAUUUCAGAACACUAGCCCAAUAAGUGUUUCGAAAUUAAAUUUUGUAAAAUAUUUCUCAAAAUAUUUUCUGAAAUUGUACGGAUUGUGCGAUAUUUCUAAAAAAAAUGUGGCUGGAUGUAACGAACUUUUGAAUUAUCUAAUUUUCAAUCAUUAUUAAAUAUGAAUUUAUUUAUUUCAUGAGUUAUAUAUGAAUAAAUAAAAUAAUAAAAAUUCAAGUGGGUGAGGGAUGGGGGAUAAAAUCCCAUAGCCUCCAUUAUAUAUCUAUAGUUAUGAUAACUAGUAUCUUUCUUACGAAAAAUAUUAGUGAUCAAGAUAACAAGUAUAGAUUCCCUAAUAGGAUAUGAGUUUUUAAAACAAUAGUAUAAAUAUACUUUCCCUACGAAGAUAUAUUUUUAGUUAUGAAUAUUUUAUAAAUUCUAAUAUAAUGGUAUACACUUGAUAAAUAGAUUAAUAAUUUUUCCCUACGGAAAGGUAGUUUAUUAAUACUCUUGAAGGCUAAAAAAUAAUAUAAGUAUGUCAUUUUCUUUGAUAAAGAGUUAUCUAGAAAAAAAAUGGUAAUUUAAAAUAUUUAUUUUUCACUACGGAUAAACUUUAUUUAUAAAAAUUAAGAUACAUAUGUUAAAAAAAUAUGAUUGCUUCAUAUAUGCAUUAUUUUACUUGUUAAUGGUCAUAUGAAUGAUGGAUAUAUAUAUAUAUAUAUAUAUAUAUAUAUAUAUAUAUAUAUAUAUAUAUAUAUAUUUUUAGAUAUUAUGUAUGCGUUCAGCCCAAUCUCAAUAAUUCUAAAAGAAAACCAAUUGUCUCGGUCUAAUUAUGUUGAUUGGAAAAGGAAUUUGGACAUUGUUCUUAUUGCUCAGGAAUAUAAAUUUUUGCUUACUAAUCCUUGCCCUGAGGAUCCUAUAACUAAUGCUCCUCGUGCUUCUAAAGAAGCAUAUGCAAAAUAGAUAAGGCUGAUGAGAUGGCUAAAUAUUACAUCUUGGGAUCUUUAUCCAACAUUUUACAGUAUCAACAUAUGACUGUUCCAACUGCUAAGGCCGUGAUAGAAUCUUUGCAUGGUAUGUUUGGUGAACAUGCUCGUGCCGUAAGGUAGAGUAUUAUGAAAUCUCUCAUGGAAGAAAAAAUGGAUGAGGGAACUCCAGUGGGUGAGCAUUGUCUCGAAUUCAUAUCACACCUUUAGUGAACUGGAGGUCCUCGAAGAAAAUGUUGAUGUGGAAACACAGAUUGACAUGGGGCAAUUUAAUUAUACUCUUCCUGAGUUAAUGAAACAGCUUCAAUCGGCUCAAGGUAUUCUAGUACCUAAGCCAGUUGUCGAUGUAGCUGAGGCUAAUAUUUUUAAGGCUAAGGCUGGCAAGAAAAAGAAACCAAAAAAAGUAAAGAAUACAAAGAUUAAUUUCUGGCACUCGGGGAGUUGGAAAGAAACAAGGUCAAGGUGAGGUUAAGCCCAAAGGGAAGUGUUUUCACUGUGGUGAAAAGGGACACUGAAAGCUCAAUUGCUCGACAUUCCUUGAGAAAGUGAAAAAUAAAGGUAAAUUUCAAACUUUACUAGUUGAAUCAUGUUUGGUGGCGGUUUCUACGGGAUCCUGAUGCGUAGAUUCCGGAGCCACUAAGAGAGAAGCUGUACAUAAGAGAGAAACAAACUGAUUAUCUGACGGUCAGUCGUGCAAGAAAAUUCCUUUUUGGAGAUCUAUUAGAGAUGCAUGCAGCUAAGAUAUAUACCAAGGAGAUGUUCCGGCGUUUCCAGAUUGAACUGACAAAGUUGCACAAGUUAACUUCAAAGAAGGUGCAUGAGUUGUCAACUCCUGAUUCAAAAACCUACUUGGUGUUAAAAGUGAUGGAUCCUGAAUCUAGUCGUAGGUAUUUCACAGUUGUGAAAUAUAUCGAAAUCGGGAUGUCGAAAUGUAAUUGUAUACAGUUUGAACAUUUUGGUAAAAUAUGUUAUCACAUUCUCAGGCUUCUAAGUUCAAAGAACUUGGUUCAGAUACCUGAAGAUUUUAUACACAAGCGAUGCACUCAAGAUGCUAAUAAAACGAGCUGUGUGUCCCCGUAUGUUCUUAAUAAGUGAUAUUUUUACUCACUUAUUGUAUAUUAAUCCAUGCGAAGUGUGCCCACCUUGAGUAAAUUUCAUUGUGUUUUAGUCGCAUUUCACGUUAUUUUGCAUUUCAUAUACUUAAAACUCCUUUUAGUGAAUAAGUGCAGGAAUCAGCGUUAUUUUGGUGGAAAUUGAGGCAUCGGUGAGCGUAUGUGUGUAGGCUAGUGGAAAGGCGAGGAUGUGCACGGCAUGGGAGCAUAAUGAGGCAUGGAAAUCAAGCAAGCAAGAGGUUAAGGCAUGAGCAAACAAGUAGCAGCAGCAGCAAAGCAUAAACCAGACUCGGGAUUUGCAGGACACAGGCCGCGCGACAAUACAAAGGCAGGCUCGCGCGCCCACGCGAGUGCAGGGCUGGACAUAAGGAGCAUUCUGCAAGUCAAGCGCCUGCGAGGCAAGGACCGCGCGCCCGCGAGAGACCCAGCGCGCGCCCGCGAGGCAGGAGUGCGCGACCGCGCGUUAAGACGUCUGGAGGCACUGAGCAUACUGUAAGUCUCGCGGCCGCGAGACAGAUAUACUAGAGCCGCGCGCGGCCGCCCGCGAUGCUGAUGCUGUAAUUUGUUUUAUUUUUAAUUAAGCAAUUUGAUGAUGUGUAAUUGGUAUAAAACGAUUCUGACAUGUGUGAGAGAGGGGACUUGACAUUAUUUUACGUAUUUUCAUAUUAGAAUUAGGGUUAACACAGUGGUGGGAGAUCCCAACGGAGAACGAAGCCGCAACGUUUUAUUCUCUUCUUCUUCUUGGAGUUCUUAACCAUUGUGGAUUUUUAUUAUUAUUGAAUGGAAUUCUUUGGGGUUUUCAUAGUUAAUCAUUGAUUACUAUUCAGCGUUUGGGUUUGAUUGUUCUCUACCUCUUACUCUUAUUUGCUUGAUUAUUGAUCAUGUUUAGUCUUGAUCCCAUAAUGGCUUUUGGUUCCGCCAUGAACUAAACUCCAUUAUGGGAUUCUAACGGAUUUUAAUAUGUAGUUUGGUUACAUAUCUAAGUGUUAGAUUUGUUUUGCAUAUCAUUGGGUUAUCUAUCAUGGUUGGUUUGUAUGUAUGAAUGACUGAUAAUCUUCAUGUGUAUGGAACUGGAAAUGAACAUAUGAAUAUGGAUGAAAUCAUGAUAGCAUGCGAAUAUGGGGCUAGAGUAAGUCUUGGAUAUUUUGUGAAACAGAUAGGAAUAUACUGUUUUACCGUAUGAGCUAGAGUAAGGGUUGUGCUUAAAAUCAAUAGGAUUGCAAUUGCGCAUAGGAAUAUGGUAAUUGUGGUGUUAUUGGUGAUUACAUGGAUUCUAACAUCUGUAGAUGAUAUGUGAGUUGGUUAUAGUGCAUUGGAAAAUGGUUAUAACUCGCUUUUAAGCCCUUGGCUAUUAUCCUGUGAUAUGUAAACACUUCUUGCAUGACAUAUGGCGAUUGAAUGAAAUAUUGAAUGAAGUUAGGAUCCCAUUAUUUCCACAUCAUAUUUAAUUCAUUUAUAUUCUUAUUUGUAGUUGGUAAUUAUAAUUUAUUCAAAUCGACAAUUUAGUCUAAAGUCUCAGCAUAUAAAUAUAGUGAGUGAUUAAUGCAUAGUAGUCUAAGUUAACAACUUUCUCUGUGGGAUCGAUACUUUACUUACUCUGUAUUACUUGUUGACCCGUGUAUACUUGCAUGAGUUAGAGCUCUUUUAUAAGAACUAUAAAAGAGGCAACAGUUCUCCCCUCUGCAAUAGAUUAUGUUAACACACAAACUAGUCGGUUCAAUCAUAUACACAAACGAUUCGAUCUACUUGUGUGGGAUGCUUCAUCCUCUAAAGAAGCCACAUAUUAUGUUCUCCAAUUGCUAGAUCGUGAGCACAAAAUUAUUUGCGACUUCCCUGCAGAAGGUGUGAAAGUAAGACCGGACUAGAAUGUGCAACCUUUUUUUAUCAAUAAUGGGGAAAAUAUGGAAUUUCUCAAUGAUGUAUGAUGAUACAGCUGCUUCUAAUGAUCAUGUAUUUAAUCCAAUAUGUUCGUAGACAAAAGUUCAAAAAAAGCAACACGGAUGAAAAGUGUUGUCGAACUAUUAUCGGGUCAAAAACCACUUCAGAAGUGUGCAAUAUAUAUAGAUGCUUUACAAACCACGAUAAGCAAAACUAUUAUAAAGCUUUAGGGUUGAAAAAUGCCAGAAUCAACAUAAAUUCAUUUCUUUCGAUUUAUUAUGACAUUUUGAUACAAAUAAAGUGUUAUUGUUUGCUAAUCAGAAUUCUCUGUAUGUAUGUAACGCCUGGUAAUUGCAUGUCUCUAUCCUGUAAAUGCCACAAUAAGCAAAACUGUUAAACUCCGAACGGUUAAUAUCUUCACUGUGCGCCCACAGUAUUAAACUGCGGACGGAACCUUUCAUAAGUGUUGAUACUAUACGACGUACGUCGUUUAAAUUAAAGAUGUCUUUAUAUGAUAUCGUUUUAUAUACCUAGAGUCCGCGGUAAUAUAUUUAACAAAAUGUCAAAUUACAUGUUUCAGUAUACAUCCUUCGCAGUAUUAAAUUGCGGAUUGGGGAUUUAUACAAGAAUAGUUAAAUUUAAUUCUAUAGUCUUCCAUUAUUCUGGGGGUAUUAUUAUUACAGAUUAAUCAUCAUAUUUUGCGAUGUUGUAAAUAUUACCCAUGAACAAAUAGAAAACUUAAUAGCAUUAAAUCAAACUAUACUCAUCCCAAGAAUUAGUCGUUUUCCUUGUAGUGUGGUCCAGUUUGGACCAAUUUCCCAUUUUUGUUCAAAAACUAUUCAAAUUCGGCAAACUGGUGGUUGAACCGCUUGACCCAGCGAAUUGGUGACUAGUUCAUGAGUUGGAUCGGUUCCCUAUUUAUUUUAAAAAAAUAAUAGGGCUUCAUCCCUUCAAUCUUCAGCUCUGCACUUUCACUUCUUCUUUGUAGUGCCAAAAUUAAUCGUUAAUGUAUGGCCUACUCUAAUAAAUAACACAAAACUACUCACUUUCCAAACUGGUUAAAUCUACUUUUCUCCACUCUACUCGACCUCGGCUUACAAAUGCAUCACUGAACUGAAAUUUUUUACAAUCGACUCAUUGAACUACAAAUUAUUUUCAAAUCGUUACAAAAUUCGUUAUAUGAGUUGACUUUUAACGAAAAAUCCACGUCACUUUUAAAAUGAAAAUCCAUAUCAGCUAUUUCAUGUGAUAUUAUUCUAGUUGUUGCCACAUUGAAAAGUAAAUGAGUUUAAUAAUAAGUACAAAUUAAAAAUUAAAUUCAUAAAAAUAAAUUCAAACUUAAAAAAUAUAACUAAAAUUUUGAAAACUAAUUAAUAUUUAUAUUUUUGAAAAUUAAUAUAAUUGUUAUUUAUAUUAUGAAAUCAUUAAAUUUAAGCUUUAAAUAUAUAAGAAAGAAAUAUUAAAACACUUUAAAUAUCAAUUAUUAUUUUUUUAAAAUCCCAAACCAUUAGAUAUGAAAAGAGAAAGAUAACCCAAAAUUCUUUUGCAUAUGAGGCAAUCCGAAUUCGUUCACAUCAAGAAUCAAAACUCAAAAUUUGCACAGAUCAAAUCAUCAAACCCAAAAUUCAUUCCCAUCAAACCCAAAAUCCAAAAUAUGUUCAUAUCAAACCAUAAGAAGCCAAGAACAUUUUUGUUUAUUAGGAAUCUGUAAUCAAAACCUACUAUUUCAAACAUCUGUCCAUCUUCAAUCUCCAACCUCCAACCAUCAAUCUUCUAUUGCUCCACUAAAUUGAUGAGGAUAUCCUUCUAUUUUUCACGAAGUGCUCGCUGAUUGAUGAGCAUCUCCUUUUAUUGCUCAAUUAAAUUGAUGGCCAUCAAUCUUCUAUUCUUCACGAAGAUCUAGAAAAAAAAUCUAAAAAAACUCUUUAGAUUUCUUUGCAGGACUGCUAAAGGUCAUAAAAACUAUUUAUGACCAUCGCUACUGCCCAAUUCUCUUUAGUUGCUCUUUCAGAUGAUUUCUCGACGGAGGUGCCUGAGCUUCUUUCGCUGCCGACGGGUGAGAAUUAGAGAUCGAAUUAGGCUCGACGGAUUGAGUCCAUCGGUGACGGUUAUGGAUUCGUCGGAGAGGAAGAUGAUGAUGGAGGAGAUAUUGUGCACAGUAGAUCUGAAAAAAUAAACCCAGAUGAUAAGUAGGUGAAAUCAAAAACAAAAGCCAAAAUAAAAAAGAAGAAGAAUAGGAGGAAAUUAGAUUUUAGAUAAUUAGGUUUAAUUAUGUAAAUAUUAUUAGUUUUAACUUUAAAAAAUAUUAAAAAUAUAUUUUUUAAAAUAAAAAAAUUAACAAAUAUAUUUUUAAAUUUUCCAUGCCUUUUUAAAUAUUUCUUCUUGGUGAUAUUUAGGAUUUCUAAGAAAAAAACAGAGAGAUAAUAAUAAUAAUAAUAAUCCUUUAAUUUCAAAAUAUUAGAUAAUUUAUAUUUUUUAAGUGAACUUAAUAUAUUUAUAUAAAAAAUAUUAAUUCAUUAAUUUUAUAUAAAUACAGUUGUAAAAAUUAUACAUUAAUUUAUUUUAUUCUUAAUUCAUUUAAUUAAUAUAUUUUAUUAUUAAUUUAUUUAAUUAUUUGUUAUUAAAAAAAAGAGAAGAGUCUAAGCUUUAAAACGGAAUUGGUGCCAUGUAGACUUUCUAAGGUGGAUCUUAUUAUUAAUAUAUUUUUUUUCUAUGGUGGAUAUUGUAUUCCACGUAAUUGGUGCCAUGUAGACUUUUUGUUAAAUUUUUAACGGAAUAGACGGUUUUUAAAAUUUUUGUAAAAAAAAUACAGUUCACUGAGUUGACCGUAAAAUUUUUUAGUCCAGUGAUGCAUUUGUAAAUCGAGCUCGAGUAGAGUAGGGAAAAGUAGAUUUAACCCCUUUUCAAACGCAUUAUAUAUACAUACCCAAUAAACAUUAACAAUAUUUACAAAUAAUAAUCACAAAAUAAUAUCCAGAUCUGAAUCAAAACAGAAAAAUCAAAAAGGGAGAGAGAGAGAGAAGAUUUGUCACCGUCGAAAUAAUCGUUGAAGAAAUCCCAAAGUUUGAGAGCAAAAUUAAAAUCAAAAUCAAAAGGUAGCUUUCUAGAUCGGAGUCAUCAACCAUUUUAGAUCGAACUAAUCAACCGAUCAAAAGAAGUAUUCUCUGUGUAUUGCCGUUUUGGGGAGUAUGAUCUAUAGUUCUGUACUAUGUAAAACUAUUUUAAGUAGAAUAUGUCAAAAACAUAUUCCCUUACUAUAAUAUGAUAAAAGAAGGGCACUCACAACCGUUGUUGGAACUUUGAUGUUUUGACUAGAAUAUGCCAAAAACAUAUUCCCUUUUCAUUUGUAUUAUUUGAUUUAGUAUCUUUCUUUUCAUAUAUAUUCAUUUAGUAUUUAUUUGAAUUGUAUAAAGUAAACAUCGUACAAAUAUGUUUAGUUUUUUGAAUGUACAUAAAUUGAUUAAUUUUACAUAUUUACUAAAUAUUAUAUAUAAUACUCCCUCUGUCUCGUAAUAAAAGUCCUUAUUACUAUUUUGGGCAGUUUCAUGUUAAAUGUCAACUUUUCUUUCAUAACCAAACUUUACACAUUUUUUCCUAUUAUGCCUGUAGCAUUAAAUAUCUCAUACUUUUUUUAUUCUAAUUCUCUCUCCAUAUUUAAUGACAUUAUUAUGGACAAUUUUGUCAUUUUAUUCAUCUUCUUAAUAUGCGUGAAAAGUCCACCAGGACUUUUAUCGUGGGACGAAGGGAGUAUAUAAUAAGAGGCAGGUAAGUGUUUUAUUGGAAGGUGGAUAAAGAUUGUCCCACGCAUUACCAAUUUGUACGAUGCUUCCUUUGUGCAAAUUUGAAUGGUAUUAGCUAUGCAGACUAUUCUGUAGAUCACUUUGAGAAUGGAGUUGCAGUCCCUUUCACGGACAAUCUUAUUUGAGUAAUAAAGAAUUUUCACUUAACAUGAGCAGGUGGACAAAGAGGAGCAAGUAGAUCGAAUCCACCGGCACAAGGAAGCGGCAAAACUCUAAACAUUUAUGUUAGGUGGUGGGAGCUGAGCUGAUUGAAAUGAUACCAGAAGCUUGACGGCUUGAACCGUCGGGAGAUAGCUCCGGCGUAAGAGUUGGUACAGUCGAACACAAUGUUAACAAUAGAGGAUAAUAGCUCUAGUGUUUUGAUAGAUAAAUUAAUUAAUUUUACAUAUUUACUAAAUAUUAUAUAUAAUACUACUAUAUAAUAAGAGGCAGGUAAGUGUUUAAUUUGUUGAAAGGUGGAUAAAGAUUGUCCCACGCAUUACCAAAUAUAUACUACUAGUUACCUCCCUCUCUCUUCUGGCCGACCUUUCUUUCAUCUUCAAACUCCAAAAUCACAAUGAAGAUCAACGUAAGAGAGUCGACGAUGGUGGCGCCGGCACAGGAGACGCCGCAGCGGAGUCUGUGGAAUGCUAACUUGGACCUUGUGGCACCGGAUACCCAUGUCCCGACCGUAUACUUUUACCGGCCGAACCGGUCGUCCAAUUUCUUUGAGGCGAGAAUACUUAAGGAGGCGCUAAGCCGUGCCUUGGUUCCGUUUUACCCAAUGGCUGGGCGGUUAAAGAGAGGCGAAGACAGGCGCAUUGAGAUCAACUGUAACGGAGAAGGUGUUCCCUUCGUGGAGGCAGACUCGGAUGGAGUGGUUGAUGAGUUCGGCGACUUCGCCCCGACGUUGGAGCUCCGGAAACUCAUUCCGAUGGUUGAUUAUUCUCUUGGAAUCCAUGCCUAUCCUCUUUUAGUCUUGCAGGUGCGUGUGUUUCCACUACGCCAUAUAUAUAAAAAUACUACCAUAUUUUCUAUAUGCUUGGUUAUUUAUUCUUGUGUAAUUUUGUUGUUCAAGGAUUUGAGAAUUUCCGGUACGUGAGGUUAGUGUACUUUUAGGGUAAAAAAUGCGAGUCACACCACAAGUUCCAAUCAGUCCCAAAAUACUUGUACUACAUAAAAAUUUAUUUUAAAUUACAGGAGAAUUUGAAAAAAAUAUUAGUUCUGUAAUGCAUGAAUUUUGGACAGUGAUUAGGAAAUUAUCAAGGUACCGAACUAUCCAUAUGGGACUGGUUGGAACUGGUGAAGAGCUGAACAUAAGGGACACCGGUUAUGUCCGGUAGUACCUGCUAUUUGAAUUCAAAUUACNNNNNNNNNNNNNNNNNNNNNNNNNNNNNNNNNNNNNNNNNNNNNNNNNNNNNNNNNNNNNNNNNNNNNNNNNNNNNNNNNNNNNNNNNNNNNNNNNNNNNNNNNNNNNNNNNNNNNNNNNNNNNNNNNNNNNNNNNNNNNNNNNNNNNNNNNNNNNNNNNNNNNNNNNNNNNNNNNNNNNNNNNNNNNNNNNNNNNNNNNNNNNNNNNNNNNNNNNNNNNNNNNNNNNNNNNNNNNNNNNNNNNNNNNNNNNNNNNNNNNNNNNNNNNNNNNNNNNNNNNNNCAAUUACUGUAGCAAUAAUUGAGUAUAACUGAGUGACUUCUUACGUAAGCAUCAAUAAUCAAUAUCGUGUACUACUAUGCAACCACACGUAUUACUGUACUUUUACUAUCAGGUAGUUCAACCGUUUUAACGGUAACACUUUUGCCGUUAUUUUUAUAAAAAGAUAAUUCUGUCGUUUUCUAACUACGACAAUACUUCUGUUGUGGGGUCUACCAAAGAUUGUGCCGUCGUACGAAUAUUCCCUGUUAAAAUGAAUAUUCCCCGACCAAUCGAAUAUUAUAUAAUCACUUGCAUACUUUGCAAAAUUUAAGUGUUGUCUAUUUACUAUUUUGUAGUAGUGUAAAUAUUAAUCCUUGCAAGAUGUUAACAGCUGACCCGUGGUGUUCCAGUGGUCAUAUGACUAAGGUUUCAAAUUUGAGGUUGUGAGUUCAAACCAGCGAAGAGACAAAUUUGUCAGAUCUACCAUGUAGGCGCCACGUGUGACACAUCAUCAGGUCAACGCACAUGUGACGCUUUGGGGUUCAAAGUCCAAAUUUUCGAAUAAAAAGGGGCUCAGUUUGCGUUGACAGGAAGAAAGAGGCUCAAUACCCAAAAAUCACUAAAGUUCAGUGGUCGACUUUGCAUUUAACUCAUUUUUUAUGUGUAGAUAAAUUGAUUAAUUUUACAUAUUUACUAAAUAUUAUAUAUAAUAUAUAAUAAGAGGCAGGUAAUUGUUUUAUUGAAAGGUGGAUAAAGAUUAAUUGUCCCACACAUUACCAAUUUGUACGAUGCUUCCUUUGUGCAAAUUUGAAUGGUAGCUAUGCAGACUAUUCUGUAGAUCACUUUGACAAUGGAGUUGCAGUCCCUUUCACGGACAUAUUUGAGUAAUAAAGAAUUUUCACUUAACAUGAGCAGGUGGACAAAGAGCAAGUAGAUCGAGUCCACCGGCACAAGGAAACGGCAAAACUCUACUUGAUGUCCCCAAUUUUUCUAUGUUAGGUGGUGGGAGCUGAGCUGAUUGAAAUGAUCUUCCGAGAAUAUCUCAGUUACGCUAAACAUUUAUGUUUGCCAAUGUAUGUAUGUAGUUUGGACUUUGAAACUGCAUGUUUUGUAUGAAUUCAUGCAGUUUUGCAGUUUACAGCAAUCUCUCUGCGAAUUAGUUGUGUUGAUAAAAGAAGGGGACUCGCAACCGUAUUUGGAACUUGGAUGUUUAGACUAGAAUAUGUCAAAAUCAUAUUCCCUUUAUGUUCAUUUGUAUUAUUUGAUUUAGUAUUUUUUUUUUCAUAUAUAUUUAGUAUUUAUUUGAAUUAUAUAAAAUAAACAUCGUACAAUAAAUUUAAUUUUUUGUAUGUAAAUAAAUUGAUUAAUUUUACAUAUUUACUAAAUAUAUAAUAUAUAAUAAGAGGCAGGUAAGUGUUUUAUUGAAAGGUGGAUAAAGAUUGUUCCACACGUUACCAAAUACUACUAGUUACUUCCCUCUCUCUUCUGGCCGACCUUUCUUUCAUCUUCAAACUCCAACAUCACAAUGAAGAUCAACGUAAGAGAGUCGACGAUGGUGGCGCGGCACAGGAGACGCCGCAGCGGAGUCUGUGGAAUACUAACUUGGACCUUGUGGCACCGGAUACCCAUGUCCCGACCGUAUACUUUUACCGGCCGAACGGGUCGUCCAAUUUCUUUGAGGCCAAAAUACUUAAGGAGGCGCUAAGCAGUGCCUUGGUUCCGUUUUAUCCAAUGGCUGGGCGGUUGAAGAGGGGCGAAGACAGGCGCAUUGAGAUCAAUUGUAACGGAGAAGGUGUUCUCUUCGUGGAGGCAGACUCGGAUGGAGUGGUUGAUGAGUUCGGCGACUUCGCCCCGACGUUGGAGCUCCGGAAACUCAUUCCGAUGGUUGAUUAUUCUCUUGGAAUCCAUGCCUAUCCUCUUUUAAUCCUGCAGGUGCAUGCGUGUGUUUCCACUACGCCAUAUAUAUAAAAAUACUACCAUAUUUUCUAUAUGCUUGGUUAUUUAUUCUUGUGUAAUUUUGUUGUUCAAGGAUUUGAGAAUUUCCGGUGAGGUUAGUGUAGUUUUAGGGUAAAAAAUGCGAGUCACACCACAAGUUCCAAUCGGUCCCAAAAUACUUGUACUACAUAAAAAUUUAUUUAAAAAAAAUUACAGAAGAAUUUGAAAAAAAUAUUAGUUUGGUAAUGCAUGAAUUUUGGACAUCAAGGUACCGAGCUAUCCAUAUGGGACUGGUUGGAACUGGUGAAGAGCUGAACAUAAGGGACACCGGUUAUGUCCGGUAGUACCUGCUAUUUGAAUUCAAAUUACUUGGUAGAUAUAAUGUUUAGCUCUUGCUUUCUUUACUUUCAUUAAUUACCUUAUAUUGCUACAUAGAGUUUUUUCUUUUUUCCUUUUUUUUAAGAAUAAAGUUAUAAUUUUUUUUGUUGCAAGUAAUUAAUUAACUUCCCUCCAAUUGAGCAGAUUACAUACUUCAAAUGUGGUGGAGUCUCGCUGGGUGUUGGUAUGAAACAUCAUGUUGCAGAUGGAGCAUCUGGCCUCCACUUUAUAAACACAUGGUCCGAUAUGGCUCGUGGCCUUGACCUCAAAAUUCCGCCUUUCAUUGACCGCACCCUACUCCGAGCCCGUGACCCUCCCCAACCUGUCUUCCACCACAUUGAAUACCAGCCUCCUCCUUCCAUGAAAUCCACUCCUGAAACCACACUUCCCGAAACAGCCGUAUCCAUUUUCAAAUUAACAAGGGAGCAACUCAACUCCCUUAAAGCAAAGUCCAAGGAAGACGGAAACACCAUUGCUUAUAGCACCUAUGAAAUUCUGGCAGGACAUGUAUGGCGGUGCACGUGCAAAGCCUUUGGGCUUCCGGAUGACCAAGAAAGCAAGCUGUACAUUGACACCGACGGACGAGCCAGACUCCGGCCCUCCCUUCCGCCUGGUUACUUCGGCAAUGUGAUAUUGGAGGCAACUCCAAUUGCACUAGCAGGUGAUCUCCGAUCAAAGCCCGUAUGGUAUGGUGCCAGUAGGAUUCAUGAUGCGAUACUGCGAAUGGACA
rnacentral:lncRNA from 1 species